UAGAGCUGAAACAACUAAUCGAUUUAAUCGAUUAUAAUCGAUUAUUAAAAUAGUUAACAACUUUUUUAGUCAUCGAUUAGUUGUUUAAUAAUCAUAUUUUACCGCAUAAAGUCUAUUUUUUACCACAAUCUGACAUCGGUUACAAGCUGUUAAAUUUGCCGCCAGUGUGUGGCAGUAAUGAGCCACUGAUCUACCAGUGGAGCCGUAGAAGAAGAAAUGAGCCAAUGGGUGCCCUCGGUUUUCAUGACGUAUCACGUUACUGACGCUCAUCUUGCUGUGAGAGAUGGCGGAACAAGAGGAAAUACGGAAGAAAAAUAGAAGCGACAAAACUGAAGAGAAACCCCGGACAAAAACCUCACGAGUAUGGGAGCACAUUUGAGACGAAAGCAUGUGGGGGCUGAUGCAGCAGAGGAAGAGCACCGCGGUCAAGUGAGCCGUCAUUUGGAAGAGCCAGCCCGAAAAAAACAAGCAACGAUGGACAACUAAAUGGGGAAGAAGACACUCACCCCCCAGUAAUUCAUACCACUUACAAACUCUAUUCUAAACAUGCUGGUAAAAGACAUGAGGCCACUAUCCAUGGUGGAAGGAGCAGGCUUCCAGCUAAUGCUAAAAAUUAUUCUGGACUGAUAUUUUGCACUGUUUAGCUCAUUUUAUACUGCUGACUGUGUUCAUGUGCAAUAAAAUAGAUUGCAGUCAACU